UACGAAGGGGGCUAGCGUUGUUCGGAUUCACUGGGCGUAAAGGGUGCGUAGGUGGUGAGGUAAGUCGGAUGUGAAAUCUCCGGGCUCAACCCGGAAAUGGCAUUGGAAACUACCUUGCUGGAGGAUUUGAGGGGGGAUUGGAAUACUUGGUGUAGCAGUGAAAUGCGUAGAUAUCAAGUGGAACACCAGUGGCGAAGGCGAAUCCCUGGAAAAUACCUGACACUGAGGCACGAAAGCUAGGGGAGCAAACAGG
rnacentral:rRNA from 1 species